rnacentral:rRNA from 1 species
GAUGAACGCUGGCGGCGUGCCUAAUACAUGCAAGUCGAGCGAACAGAUAAGGAGCUUGCUCCUUUGACGUUAGCGGCGGACGGGUGAGUAACACGUGGGUAACCUACCUAUAAGACUGGGAUAACUUCGGGAAACCGGAGCUAAUACCGGAUAACAUUUGGAACCGCAUGGUUCUAAAGUGAAAGAUGGUUUUGCUAUCACUUAUAGAUGGACCCGCGCCGUAUUAGCUAGUUGGUAAGGUAACGGCUUACCAAGGCGACGAUACGUAGCCGACCUGAGAGGGUGAUCGGCCACACUGGAACUGAGACACGGUCCAGACUCCUACGGGAGGCAGCAGUAGGGAAUCUUCCGCAAUAGGCGAAAGCCUGACGGAGCAACGCCGCGUGAGUGAUGAGGGGUUUCGGCUCGUAAAACUCUGUUAUUAGGGAAGAACAAAUGUGUAAGUAACUGUGCACGUCUUGACGGUACCUAAUCAGAAAGCCACGGCUAACUACGUG